rnacentral:lncRNA from 1 species
AGCGCGCCCGGAGUGAUCCGGCUGCGGGCCAGGGUCUGGGAAGGGGGUGGUGGGUCGCCGUUUCAUCAGAAGCCGGAGGACGGGCGCCAGGGGGCAACUUCCUACAGGAGGGCGUCCCGUUAGAAUGACAGGGCUUUUGCAAAAGUCUGACACCCGUGGCACAGAGCGCCCCAGAUAUGGAGGGUUUCACAGUAGGCUGAAAAGGAGAAGGAAGUGAAGGGGUUGGUCUUGCCGUCUCACGAGUGGCAGAGGCAGGAGAAAAUCCAAAUGUCUGGGAUGUUUCUCUUGCAUGCCUCUGGAAUCAAAUGACUCUGAUACUGCAAGCACUUCAGAGUAUGUAUAAGCAAUUUCAGCUGGUUCCGUCCUGAUAUUUACAAAACUGCCUGGAUCAUACUUACAACCAUGCAAUGAUAUAUAUUUCUAUUAAGAAAGCAACGAUUUGCUUGAAAGAUGAAGGAAAACAAACUAAGUAUUUAUGUACAAUGAGUCCUAAGUGUACACCACUAUGUUUUCCAUCAGCUUUUGAUUUUCUGUCACUCCUCUUUUUCUUUGAAAUUUAGAGUCAGAAGUGAACUGACUUCAUGGUUUUCCUCAUGAUUAUUUGAUAUCCUCUAGGGAAUCAUGACUUAAAGACUGCAUUCUUCCUUCUCAAAACUCAUGUUAAAGAUUUCUCCAUGCAGAGCCACAGGCUAUUUUGGAGUUUGAAAUGGAGCAGUUAAAACUAGGAGGUCACACACGUUGAGAUUAUUCCUUCACUGCAUCUCGCCCGGCUUGUGUGCCUGAGGAGACACGCAUCUCAGAGGGCAGAGGGGCAGCCGUUGUCUAGUGAGGUUAUUUCACCUACUAUAUAAUAAAAUGUACAGGACAAUAGCGCA